GGUAGCGUGUCCGAGCGGCCGAAGGUGCGACACUCGAAAUGUCGUGUAGGGCAACCCCCUACCGUGGGUUCAAAUCCCACCGCUACCGCCA
rnacentral:tRNA from 2 species